GCCAUCUGUAUGCAAAUCCGAUGGUCUGAUUCAAGCCUGGACAUGUCUAGGGUUACAUAAGACUUGCAGUGUGUGUAUAAAUGCAUGUGUCCAAGACCCUAAAUAAAUCAGUCAGUCCCUGUUUCAAGUCAUACAGCAACGUCUGGUGAGUGAUUCCAGGGCGCCACACAUUGUACCAAGAAGGCCGGGCCACUCGGCAGUCGGGCUGAUCUCCACCGUGGGUGCCCCAUCCCCUCCGCAGACGUCCGAGACAUCACCAACCAGGGGGUCAGAUAGGAGCAGGACCGCAGGCGGACAUCCCAUUCCGUCACAUCCACCUCCACAACGUUCAACAACUUCUAAGAAACAUUCUGGUGCUGCAUAUGAAGGCUCUAAUCGCCCUGGGGAAGCACAAUCCACCACAAGGGAAACGACACCCUCCUCAUCUUUUUUAGGACAAGGUCCGACUCCCACAGGACCAGACGAGGAGGCAGGAGACAACACAAGUGGAGGAAACUCCAAAGAACAGCGUUCCCAAAAGAACAGAACUUUACGCCCAAAAAUCACAUCAGUGUCAACAAUCAACACUACUACUAAGACAACAGUGAUCAACAUUUACUUUGUCAUCUCUAGUCUGCUGCUUCCUGUUGGUUUCCGUAUUGAGAGACAUAAAGAUCAUUUACAUUUAUUAUUCAAAGGUCUGCUCUCCUGGGGAUUACAAUUGCAACAAAUGGAUUUCUCUCUUCCUUAGACACAGGGUUUUGGAAUUAUGUUCAUACAUGUUACUUUCUUCCAUGAGCGGCUUUGUUGUUGGGUUGAUUUUUAAUAAAGUGCCCAGAAAUGCUGAUCUCUGUGAUCUUGGAGUUUUUGGGAUUAUUAGUUUGGUCCCGGGUUGAGGGACACAAACCUGUGCCCCCUAAUGUGGGACCAUAAAGAGGUGGGUGGAACUAUGCCAUUGAUCCUGACUAGUGGCCCCACCUUAUCCCUUUAUAUCUCCUUUCUUAUUGUGAGAUGUGUUAAGCCACGGACAGUGGUUAUCACACCUCCCUCUUUAAUAUUGUUCUUUAUGCACCCCAUUUAUUGUCCCCAUGAAUCUAUAAUGAGUAUUGACUCCAGAUUUAUGGAGUAUACUGCCAUGUUGGAGGUUAUACUCCUUUAUAUAUUAUAAGUUCCUGUGUCUGAUUAUUAUUUUUUAAUCAAGAUGGGUUGUAAGAUAUUCAAUAUUCAAUUAUAUUCAGAUAUUCAAUAUUUUACAAUCUAUCUUUAAGUAUUGUAUCCUCAGGUGGUCAUUCCUUGUACUGGUCUAUCUGGUAUAGCUGAUGAGGACUGCGCAUGUCAGGCUUUGACAGUGCUCCUUCUCCUUUACUUGGCGUCCUUGCGAUUCUCUAGGAGCACACACAUGAUUGGGCGGUGACGCUCUUUGGAGCGCUCACGCGACCAGCGAGAUGACGCUCCUCAGUCCCGUGAGGCUUGCCACUGGUAACACAAGACUGGCGCUGCCGUGACACGCGCACUGCCUCAUGGAGGACGCAAUCUCUCACACUAGGAGCCACCAACGAUGUAACAGGUGUUUUUGUAUAUAUUAUACAUUACAGCUGCUGCUGAUUUUUAUUGCACUUGGCACUUUAUACAGGUGAUGUCACUGAUUUAUGCACAGGCACUUUACAAUAUAGUUUACCUUAUACCUCAUACCUUAUAAGGAUGAAUUUAUACAUGAAUUACUAGUUGUUAUGAAAUAAGUUAUCACAUUAUUAAUCAUUGAUGCACUUAAAUGCAAUAGAGUCCAUGUAAUGCAAACUGUCCUUUGUUUUACUUUAAAUUCUUUAUCUGAACACAAAAAUGUCUCUUUAUGCCAAAUCCUAUAUACAAUGAUAAGUAAUAAAAGGAAAGCUCUGACCUUA